UUAGUGUUAUUUUGGCAGAUUAGUGCAUUAAAUUUAGAAUUUAAUUAUGUAUAAUUACAAAUAAUAC
rnacentral:tRNA from 1 species